rnacentral:lncRNA from 1 species
AUGACAUUUUGCAAAUCUUUGAUCUUCCUUUGAAAUAAGAAUCACAGCAUUCAAAGAGUUGCAGUUACAAGCUUCUCAGAAGGCUUGUACACUCAGAGUGUGGCUGAUAUCAAGAAUAUAAAUGUAAAAUACAAGAACAAUAAAGUGAAUAUAGGAUUUCAGAAUUCCACGCACACCUAAGAGACAGCAAUGCCAUCACAGCUAAAAUAUCCUUGUGUGUAAUGAUUGAACUCAAUGGAAGAAACAUUUGGAAUGCUGCCCAAACUGUCAGUGUUAUCUUAAGUGUGUGUUUCACUAAAGUCACCAAGAUACAGGCUGCUGCUUUGAAAUUCUUCUAAGGAAACGGGGUGGCAACUCAGGAUCUGAGUAUGAAGGACCUUCCAGCGUAGAUGCCACAGGGAGGAGAAGCUUCAAACGCAAGGCUGGAACAGGCUUUGGAAGUGCUGAUACUAGAAGAAGAAGAAGAAAUAAAAGAACAGUAGCAGAGAUAUUUAAAUUUCCAGCCAUUACUUGAUUAAUGAUCCUCAAAGUUCUGCAGAAAAAUGACUAAAGCAGCUGGAGAGCUGUAAGGAGAGGUAUGAAGUGAGGCUGAUGCCCAGGAACCUAAUCUCCAGAUUGGUGGAAAUUUAUGGGCUUUUUCUCUUUUGUGUUGAUCCUCUCGUGCGGAGAUUUCUGCAGCCUAAUCGAAGAGAAGUAAUCAGAUCCUUCUGUCUGCUCCACAAGUAGGUGGCCAACAAUUCUGUAAGGGAGAGGAGCCCUGGGGUGUCAUGACAGUAGGAAUCAAUGCUAUAAAAAAAGUAACAACUUGAUACCCUCACAUUGUGACUAAAGAACCCCCCAGUUUUGGCCCAGUGAGGAAUACACAAACAUAAAGAUGUGAUCAUUUCUGCUAGGAUUUUGAUUCUGUUCUUCUGAGUGCCAAAUUCUCAGAUACUACAGAAGAGAUUCUGAGACAAGCCUACAGAGGCCUCAAAAGAAGCAAGAGUGCAAGAAUAUGGAUAACUAAAUGCUACAGAUUACAUUUCAGGAGGGGGAAUUCUGAAGUCAAGAAAGAGAAUGUUGUGAACAGUAAAGAAGGGUGGGGAAGUACCAGUCCUGAGGAGGAGGGAGAUGCCCAUGGUGGGUGGGUUGACGUGUGUCACUCUUCUGUGAAAAACAGCAGGGACUUUCCAAGGAGGUGCCCAGCAUGCCUGUGGAGGAGGAGGGAGCCAAAUCUGCUGCCCUCAGCACCAGUUGCCUUCUAAGCCAGGAAGACUUCCAGAAAAUCUACAUGGCCCAACUGUAUAAUGAACCCAGGGCUGCCCUGGGAAAGCCACAAACUGAAAGAUACUGAAAUAAACAGCAUUGAUGGGCCAAGAGACAAGUUACUGUCAGUUGAGGAUAUUGAACGCUUUAAAAAAAAAAAAAACACUCAUCUUCAGGAAGACUAGCCGCUGCAGUGGCUGGAAAGACUGACUGAAAAGAAUAUGUUAGAAAGAAAACCAAUAUGAGUGCAGUUUCCAGUGCCCCAAAUAAAGAGAAGAAAACUAACUUUAUAUGAUAAUGUAUUAUAGCCAGAAUGUCCAGUCAAAAAAUAGAUGUUCCUUCAGAAAAAAAGCAACUGGCACCAUGAGAUGUACUUUUGGAAAAAAGGGAAAUAGAAUAA